rnacentral:rRNA from 1 species
UACGUAGGUGGCAAGCAUUGUCCGGAAUUAUUGGGCGUAAAGCGCGCGCAGGCGGUCCUUUAAGUCUGAUGUGAAAGCCCACGGCUCAACCGUGGAGGGUCAUUGGAAACUGGGGGACUUGAGUACAGAAGAGAAGAGUGGAAUUCCACGUGUAGCUGUGAAAUGCGUAGAGAUGUGGAGGAACACCAGUGGCGAAGGCGACUCUUUGGUCUGUAACUGACGCUGAGGCGCGAAAGCGUGGGGAGCAAACAGG